rnacentral:rRNA from 1 species
UAUCUCUGUAGAGUCUGCAUAUCAAUAAGCGGAGGAAAAGAAACUAACUAGGAUUCCCUUAGUAACGGCGAGUGAAGCGGGAAGAGCUCAAAUUUGAAAUCUUCAAGGUUUUACCUUGACGAAUUGUAGUUUAAAGAAGUGUUUUCUGUUGGUGUUUUGGUAAAAGUUCUUUGGAAUAGGACAUCAUAGAGGGUGAGAAUCCCGUAUUUGACCAUUACUUCCAGCGUUGUGAUACACUUUCAAAGAGUCGGAUUGUUUGGGAAUGCAGUCCAAAAUGGGUGGUAAAUUUCAUCUAAAGCUAAAUAUUGGCGAGAGACCGAUAGCGAACAAGUACCGUGAGGGAAAGAUGAAAAGAACUUUGAAAAGAGAGUUAAACAGUACGUGAAAUUGUCAAAAGGGAAGCGUUUGACACCAGUGUUGUUUUCUCGAAAAUCAAUUAAAAAAAGUUGGAUUUUGUAUUGUUAAGACCUUAUCAGCUUACUGUACUCUUUUCUUGUCUUUUUUAAUGCACUUUUCGUUUAACAAGUCAACAUCAAUUUCUUUUGUUGUAAAAGAGUCAUUGGAAGGUGGCUUUCACUUCGGUGAAAGUGUUUAUAGCCUUUGGCUUCUGCAAUCGGAGAGAUUGAGGUCUGCAGCGUAGAUCCUUCGGGGCUAGAUACGUAGAUGCUAAGUUAUAGUUUUUUAUAGACAACUUGUAGACUAUAAUUAAUCAUGUAGCUUACUCGUUUGCGCUAUUUUACCUACGCUUAGGAUGUUGACGAUCAGCUGAGCGCG